ACUCCAGGGUAAGGAGUCUGGGCUCUGGGCUCAGAAGGCCUGGGUUCAAAUCCCAG
rnacentral:tRNA from 1 species